ensembl:lincRNA
GUGAUCAUAUAAGAAAAUCACAUGACUUGCAUCUGUUCAGAAGGAGCAAUGACAUAAAGAUAGUAGCUGUUUCUUGUGCUUGGCUUCAGUCGCUCUACAUAGAUCUUUAACCUUUACAACAAGGAUUAAGGGGAGGUGAUCUAAGGAAACUUACCAGCCAGCUGGACUGAUCACUCUGGAAGAUGAGGCCAACCACCCCCAGAAGCUAUCCUGUCCAGAAAGGCUUAAAUAUCAUCCUCCCUCACGGGACUGUGGGGCCCACCACCAUGUUGUGAAGCCCCGUGGCGUUGCGCCCAUAAUAGAAACCAGGAUUCCAUGGGAUGGAGGCAGAGCUGUGCUGCUUUGGCAAGAGACAGGCCACCAUGGAAAUGUGACAACCUGCUUAACCCUGUCUCUACCUGUGAACAUCCCUCCAGGACCUCUCCACUUAUCCAUACCAUGGUGAGCUCAUGUGACAGCACAGGAUGACAGAGGUGACAUUGUUGAUAUUUAGAGAGAGCAUUUCAUCUCCAAGCAGCUGGGUGUGUCUCUCUGCACCUCUGAGUGAGGAAUCACAAACUCAACCUUUAUUCUAUAAAGACAGCCAUUCUCCUAGCCCCUGGACCAUGCCUUUCUCUGAUGAUGGCUGUGGGUAGGAAGAGGCUGAUGGUUCUGGGCCUGUCUGUGCAUGAGCAGGUUUAUGGGGAUAAGGAUAAAAGUGUGAGAAUCCACAUAUGUGUUCAUGGUCAUGUGCCCCUGUGACCUUGCAUGUGUUGUGGGCCCCUGUAACCACAUUUCAGGCCUUGUCAUCUUCCACUGCAACCCAGGGGCCCCAAGAUCUAGCACUGCAGAGGCCCCACUGUGGAAGACAGUCAGGAUGGAGCAGGACCGCCUGUCCCAUGCUUCUUGCCCCAAGACUACUGCCUGGGAGACUCUGGGCUUUGCAGUUCUGGCCAUAUGCCUUGAGAAGGGACAGGAGUCUCUGCAGAGCAAAAGACGUUUUUCUGCCUCAUGCCCCAGCCUGACUGUGAAGUGACUUUCAAGUGUCUACAGUAUGUCAACUGCAGAGUUGCCUCAUUUCACCCUCACAGCAACUGUAUGAGGCGAACACAUUAUCCCCAUUGUACAGAAGAGAAACCUAGGCUCAGAGAGUUAAGCAGUGUGUCCAAGGCCACAGAGCUGAAGAGUUUGAGCCAAGAGUUGAACUCCCACAUUCCAACUCUAAAUGCUAUCAUCUUCCAACACACCACAGUCUCUUCUUCUUCGCCAGCCUCACCCUUUUAAGCACCUCUGGUGGCAGAGCCAACCCUUUCCCUGAGCGAUUUGUUUUGGGAAGCAGGCGUGGCAGCCAGCAUAACUCUCCCUAGCUCCUCUCCAGACUCCUUCCAUGACAGCAGAGGUGGAUCCCCUGUCCCCAGAGCAGGCCUUCCUGCCUCAAGCCUCAUGUGGCAGUCAGGCACCUAGCUCCUGCCCCCCUACCUAGUUACACCCCUGCAUUCUUCUCCCUCUGUCAGCAGCUUCCUGGGGGCAAGCCUUGGUCGCAGGGGGUGAGGGACAUUGAGUCGGAGGAGAGCUAGUGUGCCCUUCCUCACCUUUAGUGCCUCCUUCCAUUUUAAAAGACAUCAGAGUCCAACAUGGCCCCAUCCUUGGCUCAGAGAGGGGAUCCUGUGGCAGAGGUUGCUUUUGGUUGUUGACAGAGCCAGGACAUAAUGAAUAGCCCCGACUUUUCCCACCCUUUAAGGUUUUGUUUUUCUACGGUUUCUCUAAUGUCAAUCCAAUAUGGUCUUAACAACUGUCCCUUCAACACAUUAUCUUCAUAAAAUGUUUAAAAAAG